rfam:Schistosoma haematobium scaffold4006_1, whole genome shotgun sequence.
AGCCUUCCGAAUCAGUGUUGAGAUUUUGUCAGACCAUCAGUACCGAUGAGACUUCCAAGAUAAGUGUAGCG